GAUGAACGCUGGCGGCGUGCCUAAUACAUGCAAGUCGAGCGAACAGACGAGGAGCUUGCUCCUCUGACGUUAGCGGCGGACGGGUGAGUAACACGUGGAUAACCUACCUAUAAGACUGGGAUAACUUCGGGAAACCGGAGCUAAUACCGGAUAAUAUAUUGAACCGCAUGGUUCAAUAGUGAAAGACGGUUUUGCUGUCACUUAUAGAUGGAUCCGCGCCGCAUUAGCUAGUUGGUAAGGUAACGGCUUACCAAGGCGACGAUGCGUAGCCGACCUGAGAGGGUGAUGGCCCACGCGGGCACUGAGACGCGGUCGAGACUCCGAGGGGAGACAGCAGGAGGGAAUCUCCCGCAAUGGGGGAAAGCCUGACGGAGACACGCCGCGUGAGAGAUGAAGGUGUUCGGAUCGUAAAACUAUGUUAUGAGGGAAAAACAAAUGUGUAAGUAACUAUGCAAGUCUUGACGGUACCAAAUCAGAAAGCCAGGGCUAACGACG
rnacentral:rRNA from 1 species